UCCGGUGGCGAUGCGCCCGGGGGGAACACCCGUCCCCAUACCGAACACGAAGGUUAAGCCCCGGGAGGCCGAUGAUACUGCGGGAACGCGGGAAAGCAGGUGGCCGCCGGAA
rnacentral:rRNA from 2 species